GGAGAGGUGGCAGAGUGGCCGAUUGCACCGGUCUUGAAAACCGGAGUCUCCGCGAGGGGACCGCGAGUUCGAAUCUCGCCCUCUCCG
rnacentral:tRNA from 1 species